rnacentral:rRNA from 1 species
UACGAAGGGGGCUAGCGUUGCUCGGAAUUACUGGGCGUAAAGGGUGCGUAGGCGGGUCUUUUAAGUCAGAGGUGAAAUCCUGGAGCUCAACUCCAGAACUGCCUUUGAUACUGAGGAUCUUGAGUUCGGGAGAGGUGAGUGGAACUGCGAGUGUAGAGGUGAAAUUCGUAGAUAUUCGCAAGAACACCAGUGGCGAAGGCGGCACACUGGCCCAUUACUGACGCUGAGGCUCGAAAGCGUGGGGAGCAAACAGG